rnacentral:lncRNA from 1 species
CAGUACCAGUUUGGCAUAUUUCUAGUUUAUUUAUUAUGUUUGAUUGCUGAAACCCAAUUAUUUAUCCGAAUAUUUAUCCGAAGAGGUCUUUGCUGAAACCCAUCCGAGCAAUCAAAAGAGCUUUAUUGCUUCAAAAGAGUUUUGCUGUUUGCUUUUUCAGAUCUCAACUUCUUUCUAUUUCUGUUUUAUUAAUUUGUCUUUCAGAACUUUUGUUAUUUUUCCAUUCAUACAGAAAAAAGAAAAAAAAAUAAAAAAAUCAAAAACUUGAAAAAACUGAAGGAAGAGAUUGACUUCGGUUUCGUUCUGUUCAUUUCAAAGGUUAAGAGGUAAACACUAAUCUGCUUUUCUUCAUCUUUCACUAGCCGGGUCAAUUUAAAGUAAAAAAAUUUGUUCUGUAUUAUUAUACUAGUUUGAAUCCUUUAAAACUUUGCAGUUUGCAAUUUAUGAUUGUAGUUUGUUUUAAUAUUUUUAUGUUGUUGUUGUUUGCAGAUCAUUUAGUUUAUGCUUUUUGAAGUCUUGUAGAACGCACCAUCAACAGUACUCUCCUUGUUGAUUCAUAAUCCAGGUAAGAGACUCAUAUGGCUCUUCAUUGUUUUGGCCAUUUAUUACUGUCUAUAUAUAUUUAUGUAAAAUGAAUUAAUUAAUAAAGGUUAUAGAUCUGAGGUUUUGAUGGGUUUUCUGGUUUUGAGACUUUGACAAAGCCAAAUUUUAAGUAAUUAAUAAUAGCAAAAAAAAUAUUAUUGUUUUUUAAUUUUAGAUUAAUAUUUUAACAAAAAAAAUAUCACGUGACCUUAGGAAACGUGAGGGACCAAAACUGCAAUUUAGCCUAAAAUAAUAUUAUAGAAAAACAAAAAUGAACGCCUUUUACAUAGGAUAAAUGUAAUAUUUUUAAAACUUCCUUUUGUAAAAAGAUACUUUUGAAAUUUGUAGGGAUAAAAGUCAAUUUUUUAUGGAGACUAAAACUAAAAUUCUAUCUUUUUUGUAAGGAUAAAAAUUACAUUUUAUAAAAAAAUUCUAUUUUAGGAACAUUUUGU